GACGAACGCUGGCGGCGUGCCUAAUACAUGCCAGUUGAGCGCUGAAGGUUGGUACUUGUACCAACUGGAUGAGCAGCGAACGGGUGAGUAACGCGUGGGGAAUCUGCCUUUGAGCGGGGGACAACAUUUGGAAACGAAUGCUAAUACCGCAUAAAAACUUUAAACACAAGUUUUAAGUUUGAAAGAUGCAAUUGCAUCACUCAAAGAUGAUCCCGCGUUGUAUUAGCUAGUUGGUGAGGUAAAGGCUCACCAAGGCGAUGAUACAUAGCCGACCUGAGAGGGUGAUCGGCCACAUUGGGACUGAGACACGGCCCAAACUCCUACGGGAGGCAGCAGUAGGGAAUCUUCGGCAAUGGACGAAAGUCUGACCGAGCAACGCCGCGUGAGUGAAGAAGGUUUUCGGAUCGUAAAACUCUGUUGGUAGAGAAGAACGUUGGUGAGAGUGGAAAGCUCAUCAAGUGACGGUAACUAUCCAGAAAGGGACGGCUAACUACGUG
rnacentral:rRNA from 1 species